rnacentral:lncRNA from 14 species
AUUUGUAACACAGUUUUCCCACGUUAACAAUAGUCUUUGUUGUGGUAAGGAGAAAACGCAUUUCUGUGUCCCUGCACUUCAGAAAUGGCUUUUAAACCCUUUUGCCCACUUACAGAUCUUAUCUUCAUAUGCCUUUAAAAACACAUUGGAAAAGAAGACUGCAUAUGCACACAGUCAAGACUUCUGCUUUUGAUUUGUUUCGAUGAAGUUCAAAGAGAAAUGAGGUCUAAGAAUUUCAUCCAAUGAUUCAAGG